GGGCCGUUAGCUCAGCGGUAGAGCGCCUCGUUCGCAUCGAGGAGGUCGGCGGUUCAAAUCCGCCACGGUCCACCA
rnacentral:tRNA from 1 species